rfam:TPA: Bos taurus chromosome 20, whole genome shotgun sequence.
UCCCUGAUAGCUCAGUUGGUAAAGAAUCUGCCUGCAAUGCAGGAGACCUGGGUUUGAUUCCUGGGUUGGGAA